rnacentral:lncRNA from 1 species
GUGCCCCCAGGGAGAGGCGCGGGCAUUGCACUGCGCUCGUGCUGACCCCUGCCACUACCCCAGACUGGGGCAGAUGGGGCAUGCAAUUUUCGGUAGUGGGGGACUGCGUUCGCGCUAUCCCCCUAUUUUUCAAACCAACGGAAGAUC